GUUGGUUGGUUCUAUGAUAGAAUUUGCAAAAAGACCUCAAAAUAUGAUGGUCAUAUAAACACUACAAAUUUGGUUAUUUCAAUUCUAUUUAUUUAACAACUGCAUUUAUUUUCGGACCCGAUAUUCACAAUCAUACAAAAUGUGUGUACCAUAGUUCUUAUUUCAUUAGCAUUAUGUGGUAUUUAAAUGUACUUGUGGUUGACAUAUAUACACUCCAAGUUUACUCUGCCUUGCUCUUGGUCUCACAAAACUGUUUAACUAGUACUGUUAGUAUUAUUUAAACUGUUCUCCUGUUUACAAUAUUAUAAUUUUUGCACAUGAAUUCCUUCAUUUACUUGAACUUCUCCUUGUAAGAUUCAAAGGUCAUGAUGAUAUAAUCCUGUUGUUCAUAAUCAACAAUCCAUCCUUCGAAAGAUUUCUUCAGCAGCUGUAAUGUAA
rnacentral:lncRNA from 1 species